UGGGGAAUAUUGCACAAUGGGCGCAAGCCUGAUGCAGCCAUGCCGCGUGUAUGAAGAAGGCCUUCGGGUUGUAAAGUACUUUCAGUCGGGAGGAAGGUGUCAAGGUUAAUAACCUUGGCAAUUGACGUUACCGACAGAAGAAGCACCGGCUAACUCCGUGCCAGCAGCCGCGGUAAUACGGAGGGUGCAAGCGUUAAUCGGAAUUACUGGGCGUAAAGCGCACGCAGGCGGUUGAUUGAGUCAGAUGUGAAAUACCCGGGCUUAACCCGGGAAUUGCAUCUGAUACUGGUCAGCUAGAGUCUUGUAGAGGGGGGUAGAAUUCCAUGUGUAGCGGUGAAAUGCGUAGAGAUGUGGAGGAAUACCGGUGGCGAAGGCGGCCCCCUGGACAAAGACUGACGCUCAGGUGCGAAAGCGUGGGGAGCAAACAGG
rnacentral:rRNA from 1 species